UGUUCCCGGCUCAUUAGCAGCCUCUGGUACUCUCGCCGAUCUCGCAGCGGUUCACAGUGCACGGAAGAAUGUGUUGGAAAUUGUACUAUUACGUUCAUCCGCAAUUUAACAGUGUUUAUGCCGGAAGGACAGUUCGUGCAGUCGAUGCCGCCGGACCUGACACGAAGGAGCGUUUGCCGAGUAUGUCUCGAAAGGGAUGUCACGAUUUCGUGAGACGGAUGCAAUCUCUGCACCACAUGGGAGCCUGUGGCAAAAUGCAGUCUGAGCAGCCCGACAAGGAAUCUGAUCUGCUUGCUUUGACAAGGUAUGGCUGGGCCUGCAGAGAAAGUGUAAGCAGACUGUGCUGUGUUGCUGAUCAGUGCUGAUCUCCACGCCUGAGUUGGUCCCACAACAUCCAGGCACCAGCGUGCUUUGCUUCAUCAUUGACAAGGUGCGCGGCAAGCUCUCACUCAAGCAACACAUUCCAGUGGUCUUCUGUCAACAGACUGGGUCUAUUGAAGUACCAUUACAAGGUCCAAUAAACAACGCUUGCGAGAUGUGUGACGUGCUCUUGCUUAAAAUCGGAGGACUUCACU